rnacentral:piRNA from 1 species
UUCAGAUGGAAAAGGAAGUGGAUUGCUCU